ACUACUGAUGGGACCAAGGCUGGAGCGUAGGCUACCUGGUGACAAGAGGCCCUUGCUAACCAAGCUCCUGAAUANNNNNNNNNNNNNNNNNNNNNNNNNAAAAAAAAGAAAGAAAGAAAGAAGCAUCCAGUAAACAUCUCUGGAAGGAGGGCAAGAGCUGGAUGAGGCUGAAAAUGGAUCUCUUGAUACCACUGAGAAUCUUUGAGCAGGGACCCCCUGGACAUGUGGGAACAAUGACAGGCAAAUGACUGUUGUGGCUGUUGCAGACGAGGGACACCCAGAGAAAAAUGAGACUGUAAUUUCACACAUGUAAAUGAAAAGUCCGUAUUUUAAAAAAAAAUCUAAAUAGGCCAAAUACAAACACAGAAUAAAGGGACUACUGAUGGGACCAAGGCUGGAGCGUAGGCUACCUGGUGACAGGAGGCCCUUGCUAACCAAGCUCCUGAAUACAGGACAAGGCCCAGGGGACUUCUCAGUCCCUGAGAUCACAGGGCCUGGUGGAAGAAAGUUCUCCUGAAGGGACAAGGACAAAGGGACAGGGGAAAAGGUGACCCAGCCUGGGAGUGUCCACACCGAAGCCCAUGAUGCCCUGAGCUCUCACUGGGCACAGGCCCCGUCCAUGUUUCUCUCCUCACAUCCCAUCCGGAACUGACACAGCACAGCACACAUGUGGAUUCUGGAAGGUUCUCAAUCCUUCCAUUUAUUUCCUCUUUCAAACAUAGGAAAUCUCUCAUUUAUUAUCCCCUCAACUCCUCAUGGCACCAAUUAGAAAAAGCAAAUUCAACAGGAAGUCAUUACUCAGGGCAGUCAAGUUAAGUAAGGAUGGAGAUGGUCCAGUGCCCCCCCUCCCCCCGCCCGGCUCCCACUUGCAAGAACUGGAAAGAGGAUCAUGGAAGAGAACACAGGUCAGGGUGAGGAGGCUCAUAGGAACACAGACCCUUUCAGAGGCAGCUGCAGAAACAGGAGUCAGGGGAUCUGGAUUCACAAAGUGGGACGUGAACAAAUCUUGUGUCCCUCAGUUCCCACAAGGCAGCUGUCUCACACUGGGAAUGAAAAUCAUCAGGAAACAGGCAGGUCAGUCAAGGAAGGGCUGACAUGCUCAACAGCCCCACAUGCUCCAAACCGCCCCCUCAAAGAUCCCCGUCACCCAGGGCACCCCCUCUGCCCCAACCCCCCUCCCAUCUAGGCCCUCCAGGGUCUCACCUCUAGGAUCCUUGGUAAGGGACACAUCGGAGCCCUGGUCACUGUCACUGCCUGGGGGACAGCAAAAGCAGGAUGGGGUCAGGACCCCCGAGAGAGAAGAUGACAGAAGGUGAGUGAACUCCACCCACGGCCUCCUGUCUGCACCACCAGGGCCUCAGGCAUCACAACCCUCCACACUGACCUGCAGCCUGAGUGUAGCUCCCUCCUUUUUCACCUGUGGGAAGAAGACAUCAUGUGAGAGACCAGGGAAAUGAUGGGUCAUGAGAUCUAGAGGAAACCCUAGAACCGGACCACAGAGACCUUUCCAGAACUUUGCCCAAAAAUCCAGGACAGGAUCAGG
rnacentral:lncRNA from 1 species